UACGUAGGGUGCGAGCGUUAAUCGGAAUUACUGGGCGUAAAGGGUGCGCAGGCGGCCUUGUAAGUCAGAUGUGAAAGCCCCGGGCUUAACCUGGGAAUUGCGUUUGAAACUACAAAGCUAGAGUGCAGCAGAGGGGAGUGGAAUUCCAUGUGUAGCAGUGAAAUGCGUAGAGAUGUGGAAGAACACCGAUGGCGAAGGCAGCUCCCUGGGUUGACACUGACGCUCAUGCACGAAAGCGUGGGGAGCAAACAGG
rnacentral:rRNA from 1 species